ensembl:snRNA U6 U6 spliceosomal RNA
GUGCUCGCUUGGCCAGCAUGCAUACUAAAAUUGGAACAAUGCAGAGAAGAUUAGCAUGUCCCCUGUGCAAGGAUGACACACAAACUCAUGAAACAUCCCAUAUUUUU